AUUGAACGCUGGCGGCAGGCCUAACACAUGCAAGUCGAACGGUAACAGGAAGCAGCUUGCUGCUUCGCUGACGAGUGGCGGACGGGUGAGUAAUGUCUGGGAAACUGCCUGAUGGAGGGGGAUAACUACUGGAAACGGUAGCUAAUACCGCAUAACGUCGCAAGACCAAAGAGGGGGACCUUAGGGCCUCUUGCCAUCGGAUGUGCCCAGAUGGGAUUAGCUAGUAGGUGGGGUAACGGCUCACCUAGGCGACGAUCCCUAGCUGGUCUGAGAGGAUGACCAGCCACACUGGCACUGAGACACGGUCCAGACUCCUACGGUAGGCCGCAGUGGGGACUAUUGCACAAUGGGCGCAAGCCUGAUGCAGCCAUGCCGCGUGUAUGAAGAAGGCCUUCGGGUUGUAAAGUACUUUCAGCGGGGAGGAAGGGAGUAAAGUUAAUACCUUUGCUCAUUGACGUUACCCGCAGAAGAAGCACCGGCUAACUCCGUG
rnacentral:rRNA from 1 species